rnacentral:rRNA from 1 species
UACGAGGGUGCAAGCGUUACUCGGAAUUACUGGGCGUAAAGCGUGCGUAGGGGGUUUGUUAAGUCUGCUGUGAAAGCCCCGGGCUCAACCUGGGAACUGCGUUUGGUACUGGCAAGCUAGAGUACGGCAGAGGGGGGUGGAAUUCCACGUGUAGCAGUGAAAUGCGUAGAGAUGUGGAGGAAUACCGAUGGCGAAGGCAGCCCCCUGGGCUAACACUGACGCUCAUGCACGAAAGCGUGGGGAGCAAACAGG